AAUAGAUACCCCGGUAGUCCAUGCCGUAAACGAUGUCUACUAGCCGUUGGGGCCUUUGAGGCUUUAGUGGCGCAGCUAACGCGAUAAGUAGACCGCCUGGGGAGUACGGUCGCAAGACUAAAACUCAAAUGAAUUGACGGGGGCCCGCACAAGCGGUGGAGCAUGUGGUUUAAUUCGAUGCAACGCGAAGAACCUUACCUGGUCUUGACAUAGUAAGAACUUUCCAGAGAUGGAUUGGUGCCUUCGGGAACUUACAUACAGGUGCUGCAUGGCUGUCGUCAGCUCGUGUCGUGAGAUGUUGGGUUAAGUCCCGCAACGAGCGCAACCCUUUCCCUUAUUUGCCAGCGGGUUAAGCCGGGAACUUUAAGGAUACUGCCAGUGACAAACUGGAGGAAGGCGGGGACGACGUCAAGUCAUCAUGGCCCUUACGACCAGGGCUACACACGUGCUACAAUGGUCGGUACAAAGGGUUGCUACCUAGCGAUAGGAUGCUAAUCUCAAAAAGCCGAUCGUAGUCCGGAUUGGAGUCUGCAACUCGACU
rnacentral:rRNA from 1 species